CUUACUCAAAGAAACAACCUUGGCGAGGACAUGGAAUCCGUGCCCUCCUCUGAAAUCGACACUCAACUCCAGCACGGCUAUUCAUAUGAAUCUUCUGUCUCUGAUCUUCAUCAUCCCCUGAUAAAUCACGACUUACCUGAACAAGCUCAUUUCGAAACCCUAGCUGCAAACGGUCAGGAUAACUCCAUUUCCAAAGUUGAAAUUUCAAAUAAUCAUGAUGAUGCCAACGGUUCUAAACCCGAGACUCUAAGGCCUCUUUUGUUCGAGAAUUUAACCAAUACCCAUAGCGGCACUGACGAUGAUAACACCAGCAAACCUAGGAAGCGACGAAGUAGGUGGGAUCCGCCGCCAAGCGAGUCUAACGAUGGGGCUGGUAGCGAUGGUGGGUCUGGGACAGGUGUUAAGAAGAGGAAAUCGCGUUGGUCAGAUGACGAGCCGAAGCCAGCCAUUCAACUUCCCGAUUUUAUGAAAGAUUUCACUGGAGGUAUUGAAUUUGAUCCGGAAAUUCAAGCACUUAAUAGUAGACUUCUUGAGAUUAGUAGAAAAUUGCAAUCUGGGUUGCCAUUAGAUGACCGACCUGAAGGUGCUAGAUCACCUUCGCCUGAGCCUGUUUAUGAUAACUUUGGGAUUAGAAUUAAUACUAGAGAGUACCGUGCUCGUGAAAGAUUGAAUAGGGAGAGACAGGAAAUUAUAUCGCAGAUUAUCAAAAGGAAUCCUGCAUUUAAGCCUCCAGCUGAUUACAGACCCCCUAAGCUUCAGAAGAAGUUGUAUAUACCAAUGAAAGAAUACCCAGGUUACAAUUUCAUCGGGUUAAUUAUUGGACCUAGGGGGAAUACACAAAAGAGAAUGGAAAGAGAAACUGGAGCUAAAAUUGUUAUCAGGGGUAAAGGGUCAUUGAAAGAAGGUAGAUUAGGGCAAAAAAGGGACUUGAAACCUGAUCCAUCUGAAAAUGAGGAUCUUCAUGUGUUGGUGGAAGCCGAGAAUCAGGAAUCACUUGAUGCUGCUGCUGGCAUGGUGGAAAAGCUCUUACAUCCAGUUGAUGAAGUGCUUAAUGAACAUAAAAGACAACAAUUGAGAGAGCUUGCUACAUUAAAUGGGACCAUUAGAGAUGAAGAGUUUUGUAGACUAUGUGGUGAACCAGGCCAUCGACAAUUCGCUUGUCCUUCCCGUUUAACAACUUUUAAGAGUGAUGUCUUGUGUAAAAUUUGCGGUGAUGGUGGUCAUCCAACAAUAGAUUGUCCAGUGAAGGCAACGACAGGUAAAAAGAUGGAUGAUGAAUAUCAGAACUUCUUAGCAGAGUUGGGAGGGAAUACUCCUGAAUCUUCUAUUAAGCAAAGCUCAGCUACUCUGGCACUCGGUCCAGGCACUACUGUGGGUACUACACCUCCUUGGGCUAGUGGUACCACUACUGCUUUAGCUGCUGCCCAAUCUGGCUUGGGCUCUAAUGGAGUCAAGCUCUUAAAGGAAUAUGAUGAUACAAACUUAUACAUUGGAUACUUGCCACCUGCUUUUGAUGACGAUGCCUUGAUCAGACUGUUUUCACCUUUUGGCGAGAUUGUGAUGGCUAAGGUUAUCAAAGACCGUGUUGUUGGAUUGAGCAAGGGUUACGGUUUUGUGAAGUAUUCUAGUGUGGAGCAGGCGAAUAGUGCUAUUACUGGUAUGAAUGGCUAUCGUCUAGAUGGAAGAACUAUUGCUGUUCGAGUUGCUGGUAAACCACCUCAACCGCCGGUUGCUGGUGUUCCUCCAGGCCCACCAACUUCAUCAUCUACACCUGCAUAUCCUCCUCUUGCUUUCAAUCAGCCGGCUGGUCCUCCUAUUUAUCCAUCUCAGCAGUUUACACAAGGCGGUUAUUUUGGUAAUCCAGUUCCAUGGGGCCCACCUGUUCCCGUUCCACCUCCUUAUGCUCCUUAUCCACCCCCUCCUCCCGGUUUGACCAUGUAUCCUACACAACCUAUGCCUCAAUAUGGAGUGCAGUAUCCUCCCCAAGUGACGGCGGUUUCUUCUGGUGAAGCACCUCCAAGUUAUCCACCUGGAGUUCAAUCUCAGACUAGCACAUCUUUACAAAAUGUUGGUAGUGUAAACAAUGUAGCCCCUACACCUCCACCACCUUUGAUUCAAGUUUCAUACCAAACAUCUCCUUAUACUUAUCCAUCUUAUUAUACUCUAGCUCCACCUCCAUCACUACCUUCUGCUGCUCAUCCGACAGCUGACAUGGCACAAGGUGUUGGUAAUGUCCCGUGGGCACCAAGUCCUAUUGCUCCACCGCCUGCAAGUUCUGAAACGAAGAAUUAUAGUACGGAUGCUGAGUAUGAGAAAUUUAUGUCGGAAACUAAAUAAUGAGGAUUUAUUAAUGACCUUCCCCUAUAAAAGAGAACCUUGCAGGUCCUUUCAAGAUUAGUAUUGCCUUCAACAGUUGCUCCAUACAACAUAUUCUGCAUUGACAUAUGUCUGUACUCUAGAUGAAAAUAUUUGCUUGUAUAUUCAAUUCAUUCUUGAUGUACUUAAAUAGCAUGAUUUCUUGGAGCAAUUCUUACCACAUGCAAUGACUCUUUGGUUGAAGUUUGGACUCACCUCUCUAACCUUGCUGUAGUGUUGUUGCAUUUGCAGAGAUCGGGCUCAAUAUUCAGUUAUAAUUUAGUACAACGCCGGAGUGGGGGUGCCAAAAGCUUCUUAGUAUUGCUAAUGUUUUUGGACUUACGUUUUCUGGGAUGUUUUGCAGCCUGAUGUGAUGUCAUGUUUUAUUUAACCUUCUGGAUGUGUUAUUACUGUUAUUUGUCAUUUGCUAUUUAUUGUUUUGUUAUUGCUUGAUUACACAAUGAUUUGGGGAUCAUUUUAUUUAACGAACUGCUCAUCCCAACAUGACCUUUGUUGUAUCUUAGUUAUCAUGCUUUGUAGCAGCAAAGCUUAAUGCAUGGGGGCUUGCCUUAUCCAAGAUGACAUUCUCUUGAAACAGAGGCAUGUUAAAGGUGACUUUAUCCCUUUAAAUGUAUUGUUUUCUUGAAAAAAAUGAUUUAUAUUUUUAUUCUCA